rnacentral:lncRNA from 1 species
UCAUAGUAAAAGGGUUUCACCUAUAAAUAGAGGGUGCCUAUACCUUCAUUGUACAUAUCAUAACUUGGAGUAAUACAAGUUUGCUCUUGCCUAUCUCUGUUGUUUCUCUUUAGCUUUCCAUCAAACACUUAAUGUGUAGCCUUGUUUAGCAGUAAUGCAAGUGGCUGGCUCUGGAGUAUUGAGUUGAGUGCCCAAGUACCAAUCUAAGUGUUAGGUUGAUCUAAGAUGUUGGAUGAAUCCAUUCUCAAGUCCUAGAGUCGCACGAGCCUAAAACUUGAGUCUUAGCCGGUGACAAAUGAUAUUUAAGCAAGUUCAGAGCUGAUUCAGAAUUGGUAGUAAAAGUUGGUCCAAAGCAAGUGAUUAGUGUUGGAUGCUGCUAGAACCAAAGUUAGCCUCGAAGAAGGUUCGGACAUGUUGGUGCGGGCUAAUGAAAUGCCUCAUGAUGCACAAGGUGCGGGCAUGUAAAAUUGCAAAACAGGUGCUCGACUGAUUGUUGCUGUGUUGUUGUGGACGUGUUGGGUGCACUAUGUAAGUGUGCAAAAUAGUGCCAGACCAAAAGUGUGGGCCAUGUUGAGCCAGUGUGCAGAUGGUUACCUAACAUGUAGAUUGGUGAAAAUGUGAGUUCUAUUGUAUUAUUUUUCUGUGUUUUUGAGUUUUAUGAUAAUUUUUAUUUUGGGUUUUUUGUAAAAGCUUUCGAUUGUAUUAUUUUGAAUGUAAAGGAUAAUGUUUUCUUCAUGGGCUUUUGAUAAUUAUGAGCUAAUGGAUUGAAGUGAAUUCCAGGAUG